GUGACGGUGUCAGAUUUAAUGAGGUGGUCUUAAGCACCAURYAUAGGAUUAGUUCCUCCAUCACU
rnacentral:tRNA from 1 species